CCAAAACAGAGGUCAGUUAAUGGAAAAUUUUAGAAGAGAAAGUUGGGUUAGAGCCAGCACAGCAAGCUGAAAUCUGCUCUUACCUAACUGGCAAAGUCAGACCAGAAAUACAAGCAAGAAUAAGAAAGACACAAAUAUUUUAGAACUAAAUGAGAGGCUGUUUUCUGCAUUCCUUGGCUCAUGGCCCCUUCCAUCUUCAAAGCCAGCAAUGACAAGUUGAGUCUUUCUCAGGUCGCACUACUGACUCUUCUGCCUCCCUCUUCCAUAUCUGAGACACAACCGGAUAAUUUAGGAUAACCUCCUUAUUUUAAGUCUCUUCUACAGAAUUCAAGCUCCACGAUGGCAGGCCACUUCUGGCUCAAACAGUGCUGUUAGUAUUCAGCAGAAUGACGGUGUUAAAACAAAAAUGGACUGAUUGAGUAACUAUAAAAGAAGUGGCAGUCUACGGCCAUACCACCCUGAACGUGCCUGAUCUCAUCUAAAAGAAGUGACAAAGAAGAAGUGUUGUGCAAGAACUUUAUGGCAAAAAUCUGGAAGUCACUUUCGAGUACAGUGAUCAGUGCUUAUGUAGCUAGCAAUUUUUUUCUAAAAUAAGCAUCUUAAAAUUAAACAGAUUCCACCCAGAUGUGGACUAGAGAUUUGACCUUGGAAGUGAGAAGGAAAAAAAUAGAUCUAGGAGAAAUUUCAAACAAACACUAUAAUUUGUUGACAGAGUCUAAACAGGGUAAAAAGAAGAGAAGUCGGUGUCAACUUCCAAGUCUGGAUCUCUGAAAGACAAAGAUAAUGUUGACAUAGAAAGGAGGAAAUAAAAUAGACACUGAGCAUAACAGAGAAACAUAAGGUAGGUUUUAAGCCUGAGACCUAUGGACAAAAGGAGAUUUGACCUUGGAAAUGAGAAGGAAAAACAUAGAUCUAGGAGAAAUUUCAAACAAACACUGUAAUUUGUUGACAGAGUCUAAACAGGGGAAAAAAGAAGAGAAGUCUAAAAAGAAGUUUAACUUCUUUUCUCUAAACUUCUAAAAAGAAGGUUUUAUUAUUCUAAAAAGAAGUUUAGAGAAAAGAAAAUGGUUUAAAUAUAAAUAACAUGAUUUGGCAUGAUAGGAAACAUUCAAUGAAUAGUGACCAUUUUAAACAUGAUACAUUUGGGGUUUUAGAUAGCUUAAUUUCACAAUUUGGGUUUUGGAUUGCUUUCUGAUCCCAGUUUUGGAUUGUUUUAGUUCACAUUUUUGAACACGUAAAAGGGCAGAGAUUAAGAAAGCAGUGAGGAAAGCACGAAUGCAGCUUUUCUAGCAGGAGAUAUGUGAAUGAUGAGAAUGUCAAGGGAAUAGUGCCUGGGAGAAAGUCCAAAAUGGGGCAACUUGAACAGAAGGAAGAUGAGAUAAAGAAGACAAAGAAACAAAAAGAUUCAAAGCAAUGUGGUUUCCCAGAGUGCAGGGGAGGGGAAGAUAUAAAAUGAGGACAUAUCAUUAGCAAUCACCAAUCUAUGCCUGCGCUAUACAUAAAAAAUAUAUAAAAUAAUAAGAGAGGUGGAAACAGGUAAUUUGACGGCCUUCUUUGGAGACAUGUACGUUAUAAUCCUAUGGUAGUGACUCCCUCUACUCAUUGCCAGUCUUCUUGCCAUCUUCUAUACAUAUUCUUCUUUUGUAUUUCGAAUGUAAUUAUUUCGUGCUUUUUAUUGUCA
rnacentral:lncRNA from 1 species